rnacentral:rRNA from 1 species
UACGAAGGGUGCAAGCGUUACUCGGAAUUACUGGGCGUAAAGCGUGCGUAGGUGGUUUGUUAAGUCUGUUGUGAAAGCCCCGGGCUCAACCUGGGAAUGGCAAUGGAUACUGGCAAGCUAGAGUGCGGUAGAGGGUAGUGGAAUUCCCGGUGUAGCGGUGAAAUGCGUAGAGAUCGGGAGGAACACCAGUGGCGAAGGCGGCUAUCUGGGACGGUUUCUGACACUAAGACUCGAAAGCGUGGGGAGCAAACAGG